rnacentral:rRNA from 1 species
CACGAAGGGGGCUAGCGUUGUUCGGAAUUACUGGGCGUAAAGCGCACGUAGGCGGAUCGAUCAGUCAGGGGUGAAAUCCCAGGGCUCAACCCUGGAACUGCCUUUGAUACUGUCGAUCUGGAGUAUGGAAGAGGUGAGUGGAAUUCCGAGUGUAGAGGUGAAAUUCGUAGAUAUUCGGAGGAACACCAGUGGCGAAGGCGGCUCACUGGUCCAUUACUGACGCUGAGGUGCGAAAGCGUGGGGAGCAAACAGG